UUUUUCUCUUCCCACGUAGCUAGUGGAAAGCAAGAAAAAAGCCCAUGCCUUAUUUUAGAGUUUAACCUUUUGAGCUCUGAUAAUAUUUAUGGACUAAUAUC